rnacentral:rRNA from 1 species
AUACGGAGGGUCCAAGCGUUAUCCGGAAUCGUUGGGUUUAAAGGGUCCGUAGGCGGGCAAUUAAGUCAGAGGUGAAAUCCCACAGCUCAACUGUGGAACUGCCUUUGAUACUGGUUGUCUUGAAUUAUAGUGAAGUAGAUAGAAUAUGUAGUGUAGCGGUGAAAUGCAUAGAUAUUACAUAGAAUACCGAUUGCGAAGGCAGUCUACUAACUAUAUAUUGACGCUGAUGGACGAAAGCGUGGGGAGCGAACAGGAUUAGAAACCCCAGUAGUCC